rnacentral:lncRNA from 1 species
GUAAGGACGUCAUGUGCUUCAUCUCUCACCUGGAUCACUACAGUAGUUUCCUAACCGGUUUCCCUGCUUCCACCCUCGCCGUCCUGUCUGUUCCCAACCCAGCAGCUGGAGUGAUCCCAUUCAGAUGUGAGUCAGAGCACGCCACUCCUCUGCUCUCACACUCUCUGACCUCAUUUACCUCCACUCUGUCCACACCCUCAGUCCAGCCAGACUCACUGUUCCUCCAACAUACUAGGUCUGCUCCUGCCUCAGGGUCUCUGCUCAGGCUGUUCCCUCUGCCUGGAAGGAAUUCCCGGGGAUGUCCACCUGCCGCUGUCUUACAUCCGCUGAGUCACUGCUUCAUACAGGCUCUUCUGGUCACUCCAUCUAACCCCUCCCACCUCUCCUUAGCCCCUUUCCUUUCUGACAUAAGAUAUAAUCUAGUUGUUUAUUUUUGUUGUCUAUCUUCUACUAGAAUGUAAGCUCCAUAUAAAGACAGAGAUUUUUGUUUGUUCACUGCCUGGCACAUAGUAGGAACAUACUAAGUGUUUGUUGAAAGAAUGACCUCGUGAGGUAGGUACUAUUAUUAAUAAGCACAUUCUAUAGAAGGUAAAACUUGGACUCACCAGUGUAAAGCAACUGCCCAAGAUCACAUGGUGAAGUGAAAGAGCAAGUGUUGAACCCAGUCAUGUCUGUUCAAAAGCCUGUGCUCAUCAACACGUCACUGGAAUAUGCUCUUCCUCUUGCUGCGAGCUGCUGAGCUCAGUAGGAGGAAACUGUUUCUCACGUCAGCCUUUCCUUCUGGUUAACCAGACCACUAGGCUUUCAGCUGGCCUUCCUGAGCUGCGAGGGACUGCUGGAACUGGGAGCUGCAGAAGCCACAUGUGCUGUAAGAGCCUGCCUAAAGGAACACACUACACUACACAGCUACCAUGUUGUGAGGACACUCAAGCAGUCCCGUGGAGAGACCCACAUGGGGAGGAACCGAAACGUCACACCAAUAACCAGUUCAACUUGCCAGUGGUGAGUGAGGCACCUUAAAGUAGAUCCUCCAGCUCCAAUCAAGCCUUCAGAGAGCGGAAUGCCAGCUGAAAUCCUGACCGCAAUUCAUGAGAGACUCCAAC